AAAAAAGGCCAAAAAGCAUCGGCACCUCUUCUAAAAAAUUUCCCAAAGACAGAAUAAACACACACAGAAUACAAUGGAAGCUGAUCACCGGACGGUCGGGGAGUACACGCUGACGUGUAGGCUCGGCGGAGGCUCGUUGUCGACGGUGUGGAAAGCGGAGCACCGUACAAACGGAAAAGUGGUGGCGUUGAAGCAAAUCAACCUCCUCAACCUCACUCGCCAACUCAAAAAUUGCUUGGACUGUGAACUCACCUUCUUGUUUUCUGUUAAUCACCCUAACAUCAUUCGCCUUUUCGAUAUCUUUCAGGCUGAAAACUGUAUUUUCCUUGUCUUGGAGUUUUGUGCUGGAGGAGAUCUGGCUUCUUAUAUCCGAAAUCAUGGCAGAGUUCGAGAAUGUGUAGCUAUAAAAUUUAUGAAACAGAUUGGAGCUGGUCUAGAGGUACUAAGCUCACACCGAAUAAUCCACCGUGACUUGAAGCCAGAGAACAUUCUCUUAUCUAGCUUGGAGAAUGACCCGAUUCUUAAGAUUGCUGAUUUUGGUCUCUCAAGAAUGUUAAAUCCGGACGACUUUGCAGAAACGGUUUGUGGUUCCCCUUUUUACAUGGCUCCAGAAAUUCUUCAAUUUCAAAAAUAUGAUGCGAAGGUUGAUAUGUGGAGUCUUGGUGCAAUUCUGUUUGAACUACUUAAUGGUUACCCUCCUUUCCACGGUAGGACUAGUGUUCAGAUACUACAGAAUAUCAAGGCGUCUCUGUGUCUUCCUUUCUCUGAGCUGAUUAUUCCUCAGUUGCACCCUGAUUGUGUUGACUUAUGCUCGAGACUAUUGUCUAUCGACCCAGAGAAGCGGAUCUCUUUUAAAGAGUUUUGUCGGCAUCGCUUGUUGAAGAUAGGCGAAGCGGGGGAUGAAAGCUUCUGUUUGAAGUAAAAACAUUCGGAAUCUUGCUAGGCAGAAGGAUCAAUAUGAUUAUCACUGUUUAUACUUGGAUUCCACUUUUCCUUUGUCAACUUGAUGAGUUCGGCGUCUUUUUCCUGCUGAUUACUCUAGGCUAUUCACUAGUCUAUCAGUUUCAAAUCAUGUAAAGCUGUUGUUUGCUGACACAUUUAAAGAGAAGGUUGGCUACAUCUCGACUUGGAAUGCAGCAGAAAAGUUAUCUUUCUGGAUGCUGAGCACGAAAACUGAACAUCUUGAAGCCUUGUGUACUUCAAUUCUGGCUAGGGGAUCAUGGGGUGAGCUAGAGGAGUGCUUUUAAUAUCUUUUUUCUGCUUAUUGACUUAUAUUAUUCCUUGAAGACUCUGAUCAGAUGAAUCCUACCCCGAUACUACCACUUGUGGGCCUCUGUUGGACACUGCUAUGUACUAAGAGACAGAAGUUAGUCUACCAAAUGAGUGGAAGUAACUUCUUUUAUCAUAUGGUUCCCAUCUCUUCAUCAUUAGACAGUUUCUCCAUGAGUGUAAAGGGUUCAAGGUGCUAGGGAAAUCAAUUCCGAGGAACCGAUGCCAACCUGUUAAAGGUAUUUAUUAUCUUCUAAAACUCUCAACAGUUACAAAUUGCACAGGGACAUCUUCAUGGCUAGCUGGAUGAUAUCGUAGUCUUAAAAAGGUCAGUAUUCCAAUAAUAUUAUGAAUAACUUUGUUUGCAAUUUGGAAUAAACUGGUAAUUGUAACCAAAACAAAGAAGUGAGUGCAAGCAAAAAUAAUUGAUUUCUAGGAAAAUAGAUGCUGCAGAAGGUUCAACCUUACCUGUAAGCCAACUAACUUUUCCUCGUCUUGAAGAUACUAAGUGCCUUUUUACAUGUCCUGCCACAUUUGCAGGGAGAACUUACUAACAUCUAUCUAAUGCAGUUCUUUUCCUCAAUCCAUUUCCCAUUGACCUUAUUAUUAUGUAUCUAUAGGAAAAGGAUUGCUGCAUUUGCAAGAUGAGAAAGACAAAACUGUACAAGCAGUAUUGACAAAAGAAAAUAAUAGCUUGAAUUUUGCUAGUGUAACAAUAUGUAGCGUUAUCCUUCAUCCAAUUUGUUUGCACAUUAGAUUCCUAAUUCUUCUGUUAUUCAAUGAGAAAUUCUACUUCAAUACUAACAAGUGACGUGUACUGAAGUAGUUUUGCAUUGCCCUAGUGGUCUGCUAAUUCAUCUCCGUUUUGUGACCGUUCUAGCGGUUGUACUUUAUCCUACGUUGUGCUGUCAAACAUGGCCAAUUGGAGUAGAAUCUGUAACUAUAUGAUAAUGUUUUUAUUCUAUAUCUGGAUUCUAGUCUCUAGUUUUAUAUGCCCCACAACCACAAAUUUGGUAGCAUAAGAAAAGGGCAGUUAAACUGAAGCUAGAACUUCAGAAAAGCUUCAUGAGUUUCCUUAUAUUCUUUUUCUUUUUUCCUGUUUUUUCUUUUAGCUAACAAGAUGACUGACAAGGCAACUAAGACGGAACGAGGACUAAGAAGGAUAUAUCUCUUUCAUGGUGAGAAACAAACACAACAAAUUGAUAGAGAAAAAACUGAUGAAGAUAGAAAAAUCUAACAGGUCAUUGGUAGAAGAAACUCUUAGCUUCUCCCUAAAAGAUUUCCUAGUUGGCUUGUUUAGAUGACCCUUCUUCUAAAAUGACUUGAUGUGAAACAAUCACUUAAACUUUUUAAAUGUUAGUGACUGGAAGUUGUUUCAGAAAAUUUAACAAGAAGUUGAUUAGUUGUUACCUGAUUAGCUUUAGUUGUGUCAUUUAACAUGUUUUCAAAGAUAGGGGCCAUUUGGUUUGUUUUGUUUGGCUGCAGUGGCUCGAACAUGCGUUUUUAUUAUGACACGUGUCACUGACGUGCCCUACGUGGACGAUGAUGAAUGCAAAAGAUGAUUCAUUUUGCUGAGCUAGAGAAAAAAGGGCUCUAUGAUACAAAAGGGUGAACAAUGAGAGUAUUUUUGUUGCCAAUUUUUGAGUGAAGCUGUGAUUUCUGCUGUUGAAGUUGGAGUUCAACAACAACCUCCAAUAUAUCCUUUGGUUCCACUCUUACAGAGUUCUUGGCAAUGUCCUUCUGGCCUUUAUGCCUUUGGUCUCUACCCAAAGGGGCAUUUCAAGUUGGUAUGGCUAGCCACCAUACCUGAGAAGGGUGUCAUCUGAUGAUCCUCCAGUCAUCUUGACGCAUACCUUGGAACUAGGAGUGGCAAACGGUUGGGUCAGGUCGGAUAUGGUUCGAGUCGAGAAUGGGUAAUGAAAAAACGGAUAAAUUAUCCGACCCAACUCAUAUUUAAUACGGAUAAAAAAUGAGUUAACCGGCGGAUAAUAUGGGUAAUCCUUGACUUAUUGCAUAUGACCAUUUUUGGGAGAAUUUUUAGUCUCCCUAACUUGACUAACCUCCAAUUUGAGGCUUUACAAAUGUAAAAGUUAGACCC